GUACACGCUGUGACUAGCAUAUCAAUAAGCGGAGGAAAAGAAACUAACAAGGAUUCCCCUAGUAACGGCGAGUGAAGCGGGAAGAGCUCAAACUUUGAAAUCUUAAAGGGUUUCCCUUUACGAAUUGUAGUUUAAAGAAGUGUUUUCUGUUGAGGUUUUGGUAAAAGUUCUUUGGAAUAGGACAUCAUAGAGGGUGAGAAUCCCGUAUUUGACCUUUACUUUCAACUUUGUGACUACACUUUCAAAGAGUCGGAUUGUUUGGGAAUGCAGUCCAAAAUGGGUGGUAAAUUUCAUCUAAAGCUAAAUAUUGGCGAGAGACCGAUAGCGAACAAGUACCGUGAGGGAAAGAUGAAAAGAACUUUGAAAAGAGAGUUAAACAGUACGUGAAAUUGUCAAAAGGGAAGCGUUUGACACCAGUGUUGUUUUUCUGAAAAUCAAUUAAAGAACUGUUUAUGCUAAGCUGUUUAGACUUUAUCAGCUAUCUGUUUAGUUUUGAGCUUUUCUUUAAUGCACUUUUCAGUUAACAAGUCAACAUCAAUUUCUUUUGCUGUAAAAAAGCUUGAGGAAGGUGGCUUGAGAUUCGUCUUAAGUGUUUAUAGCCUCUUGCCUAUGCAGUCGGAGAGAUUGAGGUCUGCAGCGUAGAUCCUUCGGGGCUAAAUGCAUUUGUGCUAAGUUAUAGCAUUUUAUAGACAACUUGUUGACUAUGAUUUGUCCUGUAGCUUACUCGCUUAUGUUAUUUUACCUACGCUUAGGAUGUUGAUAUGCAUGACUGAUAU
rnacentral:rRNA from 1 species